AUGAACGCUAGCUACAGGCUUAACACAUGCAAGUCGAGGGGCAGCAUUUUAGUUUGCUUGCAAACUAAAGAUGGCGACCGGCGCACGGGUGAGUAACACGUAUCCAACCUGCCGAUAACUCGGGGAUAGCCUUUCGAAAGAAAGAUUAAUAUCCGAUAGUAUAUUAAAACCGCAUGGUUUUACUAUUAAAGAAUUUCGGUUAUCGAUGGGGAUGCGUUCCAUUAGUUUGUUGGCGGGGUAACGGCCCACCAAGACUACGAUGGAUAGGGGUUCUGAGAGGAAGGUCCCCCACAUUGGAACUGAGACACGGUCCAAACUCCUACGGGAGGCAGCAGUGAGGAAUAUUGGUCAAUGGACGAGAGUCUGAACCAGCCAAGUAGCGUGAAGGAUGACUGCCCUAUGGGUUGUAAACUUCUUUUAUAUGGGAAUAAAGUAUUCCACGUGUGGGAUUUUGUAUGUACCAUAUGAAUAAGGAUCGGCUAACUCCGUGCCAGCAGCCGCGGUAAUACGGAGGAUCCGAGCGUUAUCCGGAUUUAUUGGGUUUAAAGGGAGCGUAGAUGGAUGUUUAAGUCAGUUGUGAAAGUUUGCGGCUCAACCGUAAAAUUGCAGUUGAAACUGGCAGUCUUGAGUACAGUAGAGGUGGGCGGAAUUCGUGGUGUAGCGGUGAAAUGCUUAGAUAUCACGAAGAACUCCGAUUGCGAAGGCAGCUCACUAGACUGCAACUGACACUGAUGCUCGAAAGUGUGGGUAUCAAACAGGAUUAGAUACCCUGGUAGUCCACACAGUAAACGAUGAAUACUCGCUGUUUGCGAUAUACAGUAAGCGGCCAAGCGAAAGCAUUAAGUAUUCCACCUGGGGAGUACGCCGGCAACGGUGAAACUCAAAGGAAUUGACGGGGGCCCGCACAAGCGGAGGAACAUGUGGUUUAAUUCGAUGAUACGCGAGGAACCUUACCCGGGCUUAAAUUGCAUUUGAAUAAUCUGGAAACAGGUUAGCCGCAAGGCAAAUGUGAAGGUGCUGCAUGGUUGUCGUCAGCUCGUGCCGUGAGGUGUCGGCUUAAGUGCCAUAACGAGCGCAACCCUUAUCUUUAGUUACUAACAGGUCAUGCUGAGGACUCUAGAGAGACUGCCGUCGUAAGAUGUGAGGAAGGUGGGGAUGACGUCAAAUCAGCACGGCCCUUACGUCCGGGGCUACACACGUGUUACAAUGGGGGGUACAGAAGGCAGCUACCUGGCGACAGGAUGCUAAUCCCAAAAACCUCUCUCAGUUCGGAUCGAAGUUUGCAACCCGACUUCGUGAAGCUGGAUUCGCUAGUAAUCGCGCAUCAGCCACGGCGCGGUGAAUACGUUCCCGGGCCUUGUACACACCGCCCGUCAAGCCAUGAAAGCCGGGGGUACCUGAAGUACGUAACCGCAAGGAGCGUCCUAGGGUAAAACUGGUAAUUGGGGCU
rnacentral:rRNA from 1 species